AGCGAACGCUGGCGGCAGGCCUAACACAUGCAAGUCGAACGAAGUCUUCGGACUUAGUGGCGGACGGGUGAGUAACACGUGGGAACGUGCCUUUAGGUUCGGAAUAACUCAGGGAAACUUGUGCUAAUACCGAAUGUGCCCUUCGGGGGAAAGAUUUAUCGCCUUUAGAGCAGCCCGCGUCUGAUUAGCUAGUUGGUGAGGUAAAGGCUCACCAAGGCUACGAUCAGUAGCUGGUCUGAGAGGAUGACCAGCCACAUUGGGACUGAGACACGGCCCAAACUCCUACGGGAGGCAGCAGUGGGGAAUCUUGCGCAAUGGGCGAAAGCCUGACGCAGCCACGCCGCGUGGAUGAUGAAGGUCUUAGGAUUGUAAAAUCCUUUCACCGGUAAAGAUAAUGACUGUAGCCGGAGAAGAAGCCCCGGCUAACUUCGUGCCAGCCGCCGCAGUAAAAC
rnacentral:rRNA from 1 species